CCUACGGGAGGCAGCAGUGAGGAAUAUUGGUCAAUGGCCGUAAGGCUGAACCAGCCAAGUCGCGUGAAGGAAGAAGGAUCUAUGGUUUGUAAACUUCUUUUAUAGGGGAAUAAAGGUAUCCACGUGUGGAUAUUUGCAUGUACCCUAUGAAUAAGCAUCGGCUAACUCCGUGCCAGCAGCCGCGGUAAUACGGAGGAUGCGAGCGUUAUCCGGAUUUAUUGGGGUUAAAGGGUGCGUAGGUUGUUUUUUAAGUCAGCGGUGAAAGUUUGUGGCUCAACCAUAAAAUUGCCGUUGAAACUGGAAGACUGGAGUGUGUUUGAGGUGGGCAGAAUGCGAGGUGUAGCGGUGAAAUGCAUAGAGAUCACGCAGAACUCCGAUUGCGAAGGCAGCUCACUGGACUGCAACUGACACUGAGGCUCGAAAGUGUGGGGAUCAAACAGGAUUAGAUACCCCGGUAGUC
rnacentral:rRNA from 1 species